rnacentral:rRNA from 1 species
CCAUUUCGAGAACUCGGGGACGAUUAUGCGUGUCGGCUUCGGUCGUCGCGUUGAUUGAAACCGAUUUAAUCGCAGUGGCUUGAACCGGGCAAAAGUCGUAACAAGGUAGCUGUAGGUGAACCUGCUGCUGGAUCAUUACC